ensembl:lncRNA
GAACGCAUAAAUUGUGACAUAAUCCAAAUGCAACUGCAAAUCUUGCAUUUACCGUUUGCUUUUUUGCUUUCGCGAAUGUACAGCGAGUGCCAAAUUUCAAAUAGCAAAGUCCAUUUGCAACUGUAUUUCCCAUGUCUUACGAGUUAUGAGCCUGUCAUAUUUAAAUAGCCAUAUUAUUUACCACAUUUGCUUUUUUACUGUCUAGAAAUGAACAUGGAGAGAAAUACUCUACUGCUGUGACUUUAAACAUCAUGUGUGAGUUAAUGAUCAUCUGCACCUUGUUCAAAAUUUCCAAAUUCACAAUUUAUAUUAAUAUUAUUUUUAAAUAUGUAUUUAUAAAUUUAUUAUUAAUAUUAAUUUAAUUUUUUGUCUUUUUUAGAUCCUCCAAAGAACGUUUCAGUGUCCAUUGCUGGAUCUGGUGUAAUAGUGGAGGGAGAUUCAGUGACUCUGAUCUGCAGCAGUGAUUCAAACCCUCCUGCUCUGAUCUUCAGCUGGUUUAAGGAGAAUCAAAGCUCAGCUGUUGGAUCUGGACAGAGUUUCAGUGCACUACAGAGUGGACGCUUCUACUGUGAGGCUCACAAUCAACAUGGAUCUCAGAGAUCAGACGUUGUUACUGUCACAGGUGAAGGUCUUGGAGAGCAAACCUGUAUAACUUUCUUUGGUCUGGACAGUUAAUCUUAGCUGAUUUGUUUCUCUCUUUCAGAGCAUCACAGAUCCAGUUGACGUGUAGUUUUUGGGAUCACAGUGGAAUGUGGAGCAUCAUUAAUGCUCAUUACCAUCAUUAUCAUCAUCAUCCUGUUCAUAAUAUCUGUGAUCCCAGUGAAGACACAUACACAGCUCUUGAGCUCAAGUCCACGACCUCUGACCUCUACGACACACUCACAGUAAGUGAGACGUCAAAGUCAGAUCAUCAUCACAGAUGAUCACAUGACCAUCUCUCGCUCUCUUCCACACAGACCGUUCAUCCCAGAAAGGUCUGUCUUGACCAUGGUGAUCAUAUUAGACAGGUUUGCAACCCAGAUUUUUUUAGGCAGUUAAACAUAAAAAUAAAACUGAAAAAAAGAGAGCGAGAUAGAGAGAG